CCCCCUUAACCCUAUCUUGAAUUUAAAUGGCGUGGUUCAUGGUGCCAGAUGGGCUGGUCUAAGUAUUUCAGAAACUGCUGAUCUACUGGGAUUUUCACUCACAACCAUCUGUAGGGUUUACAGAGAAUGCCUGUCCUGUGAUGUGUGCCGUGCCAGCCUGGUGACAGAUGCUGUAGCGGUCCCAUUUGACCAGAGCUACCAUCUGCUGGAACUUCGUAAUAACGGUGGGCUGAUGAUUCCUUCAAAAGGAACUGUAAAGGUGGUGAGAGCUGCGGAGAGGGCAAUACGUCAACACUCUCCAGGGAAAGCCCCUGAUGAGGUUGUUGUAGCCCACUUUGUCAGAGAGGAAAUCGGGACAGAGGACGUCUUUGCACUGGGGAGCCAUGUCCAAGAAAGCCAGUUUGGCAUCGACAAUCACCUGUCCCUCCUCCUGUCGCUGGUUGUCUCUGUCGUUAGCGAAUACGGCUGCAUCAUAUCGCCAAAUUAACCUCGCUUACCUGGCAGAGAGGAAAUUCCCGAAAAAAACUCGGAAAAACCAUCCUGUUUCAAGGAUUUUUAAAACGACAGAUAUAGUUAUAUAUAUAUGUAUAUAUGUAUGGUAUUAAAUGUAUAAUUGUAAACAUACUGUACCAAACUAGAUUAGGAUUAUAAAUCAAUAAAAAAUUAUAUAUAAAGUGUAAAUGUAGUACAUCAAAUUAUAAAAACAGACGUGUAUAUUUAUGUAGAUAUAUGGAUUGUAUAAAAAUAUAAAUUAUAAAAUAUAUAGUAUUUCAAGUUGUAUAUGUAUGGAUUGUAAAUAUCAAAUUUAGUGUCAU
ensembl:lncRNA